GUGGACGGACCUCUUGUGGAGAUUGACUCAUUAAAUGUUUCUCCUCCGCAAAACUCAACCGAAAGAACACUGGAAGGAUUGACAUAUUCUAGAGUUCUUUCUUGAUUCAGUGGGUGGUGGUGCGUGGCCGUUCUUAGUAGGUUGAGUGAAUAGACUGGUUAAAUCCUAUAACGAUCGAGACUCUAGCCUUCCAAGAAUAUCGUCGGCUUACAUACGCCGUCGAGACUUCUUAGAGGGACGGGCGGUGAUUCAACCUCGUUUUACAAAGCAUUACAUGUCUGUGAUGCCCUUAGAUGUCCGGGGCCGCACGCGCGCUACACUGAAGUGAUCAGCGUGCUUUUUCAACCAACUCUGUCAAGAGUGGGGAACCCAAUGAACCUUCUUCGUGAUUGGGAUAGGGGAUUGUAAUUAUUCCCCUUGAACGAGGAAUUCCCAUUAAGCGCGAGUCAUAAGCUCGCGUUGAUUACGUCCCUGCCCUUUGUACACACCGCCCGUCGCUACUACCGAUUGAAUGUUUUA
rnacentral:rRNA from 1 species